AGUCGGCAUGGAACCUACAGCCUGGAGCACAGAGGACAGUGGGAAAAUCAGUCACAUGGAACCUCCAGCCUGGAGCACAGAGGACAGUGGGAAAAUCAGUCACAUGGAACCUCCAGCCUGGAGCACAGAGGACAGUGGGAAAAUCAGUCACAUGGAACCUCCAGCCUAGAGCACAGAGGACAGUGGGAAAAUCAGUCGGCAUGGAACCUCCAGCCUGGAGCACAGAGGACAGUGGGAAAAUUAGAAUGGUCUUCUGUUGGCUGCGAAUUCACCAAAUCUGCAAGAACACAGGAGUUGAAAAGCCUAAUUCUUACCAAGGCCCAACAAGUCCAUGACAGGGGCUGCAGAUUUUGGGGAGCUUUUCCGAGACUAUAUGCUCCCAGAAGAUCUGCUACACAGCCAGUGUCCUACGGAAAUGAAGUGGGUAUGACCUCACUUCUGGACUGCUUCAUGCUGCAGCAGGGGAAGGAGAUGACUGUGAGGAGUCCUUUGCAUUAGGUUGGGAAGGAAUUCCUCGUCCCUUACUGCCUGCACUACCUUGCAUUUACCUGCCUGUCGAGACUCACCAGAUUCCUGUGGAUCCCAGCACACCGAAUGCAGAUAAACACGCCGAUGUUCCAGGAGGCCCAUCGCGGCCCUGUGAAGAUCAAGACGAGACAAUCAAGUACAAAUUAUGAGACUGUCCCAGGCCAUCUGUGCUAUUUAGAUUAUCAAGCAACAUUUCUGCUAAAACCAAAU